rnacentral:rRNA from 1 species
AUGAUGGAGGUGGGCAUGGCGAUGAAGGUGGUGCUAAGCCUAUGCUGCGUGGGGGCGUGCUCCCUCGCGAUCUACCUCUACUACACCGUCUGGGUGGUGCCGCAGAGGCUCCUUGCCGGGUUCAGGAGGCAGGGCAUCGGAGGCCCGCGCCCGUCUUUCCCUUACGGCAACAUCGCCGACAUGAGGGAGGCGGUCGCCGCCGCAAAGUCGGCUCCCCGAGCCGGCGGCCGCAUCGUCCACGACUACCGCCCAGCCGUGCUGCCCUUCUACGAUAAAUGGAGGAAAGAGCAUGGUCCAGUGUUCACUUACUCCAUGGGGAACGUGGUGUUCCUUCACGUGAGCCGGCCAGACGUGGUCCGGGACAUCAACCUCUGCGUCUCGCUGGACCUCGGCAAGAGCUCCUACCUAAAGGCCACGCACGAGCCACUGUUUGGCAGAGGCAUCCUCAAGUCCAACGGCGAGGCUUGGGCCCACCAGAGGAAGAUCAUUGCGCCCGAGUUCUUUCUCGACAAGGUCAAGGGAAUGGUGGAUCUGAUGGUAGAUUCUGCACAAACACUGCUCGAGUCAUGGGAAGCGAGGGUCGACAAGAGUGGCGGCACUCUAGACAUCAAGAUUGACGACGACAUAAGAGCCUACUCCGCAGAUGUCAUCUCCAGGACAUGCUUCGGAAGCAGCUACGUCAAAGGAAAGAAGAUCUUCUUGAAGCUCAGAGAGCUGCAGAAGGCCGUGUCCAAGCCAAACGUGCUAGCUGAAAUGACCGGCCUAAGGUUCUUUCCUACCAAGAAGAACAGGCAGGCGUGGGGGCUUCACAAACAAGUGCACAGACUGAUACUAGAGAUCGUCAAGGAAAGCGGAGAGGACAAGAAUUUACUGCGUGCGAUACUUCACAGCGCAAGCAGCAGCAAGCUGGGGCUCCGCGAGGCAGAGAACUUUAUAGUGGACAACUGCAAGAGCAUAUAUUUUGCAGGAUACGAGAGCACAGCUGUGACAGCUGCCUGGUGCCUAAUGCUCCUUGGCCUGCACCCAGAAUGGCAGGACCGGGUCCGGCAAGAGGUCCUGGACGUCUGCGGGGGCCGUCCACUAGACUCCCAAUCACUUCAGAACAUGAAGAACCUGACGAUGGUGAUUCAGGAAACCCUGAGGCUGUACCCAGCAGGCGCCUUUGUGUCAAGGAUGGCCCUUCAGGAACUGAAGCUGGGGGGUGUGCACAUACCGAAAGGCGUCAACAUCUACAUCCCUGUCUCCACAAUGCACCUUGACCCCAAGCUGUGGGGUCCUGAUGCCAAGGAGUUCAACCCGGCACGCUUCUCCGACGCUCGACCCCAGCUGCACUCUUACUUGCCGUUUGGCGCCGGCGCUCGGACCUGCCUCGGCCAAGGGUUCGCCACGGCGGAGCUCAAGAUACUCAUAUCUCUCAUCAUCUCCAACUUUGCGCUCAAGCUCUCGCCGCUCUAUCAGCAUUCCCCAGCGCUGAAACUCAUAGUGGAGCCGGAGUUCGGCGUCGACCUCACCUUAACCAAAGUGCACACUGCUUCUACUACUACUACAUACUAG